rnacentral:rRNA from 1 species
UACGGGGGGAGCAAGCGUUGUUCGGAUUUACUGGGCGUAAAGGGCGCGUAGGCGGCGCGACAAGUCACUUGUGAAAUCUCUGGGCUUAACCCAGAACGGCCAAGUGAUACUGUCGCGCUAGAGUGCGGAAGGGGCAAUCGGAAUUCUCGGUGUAGCGGUGAAAUGCGUAGAUAUCGAGAGGAACACCAAUGGCGAAGGCAGCUCGCUGGAACGGUACUGACGCUGGAGGCGCGAAAGCGUGGGGAGCAAACAGG